GGUCCUGUAGCUCAGAGGCAGAGCGGCCUCCUUAUAAGGGGCAGGUCGAUGGUUCGUAACCAUCCAGGACUACCA
rnacentral:tRNA from 1 species